ACAAUACCUAAAAACACCCCUUUUCACACCACUAACAAUAAACAGAUAACAAUCUGUCAGGCAUUCAGAGCUUAACAGGGUACUGAUUAUCAGGGGCAGAUAAGGCUACUGAUAGGGUUUGCCCAGACAUAAGGCUGGAAUGAGGUAUAAGACUUUUGAUUGGUUCAAUUUUUUGCACAGGAAAUUAUUUGAAAACAACAACUUUUGAAAAACAAGCUGGUUUCAGCAAUUGAAUUGAGCUAAAUUAAAUUAACAUUAAGACUUAUAAUUGUUCUGUAAAAUGUAUUGAAAUACUGUCAGCAUGAAGUAUUGUGUGAUGAAAACAAUGUGUAUUUUACUACAAUUUGGAAAUCAACAAGAAGUUUGUUGGAAAAGAAGUUCAACUGUUUUUUUUUUGGAAUACUGAAGAACAGUUUUAACAGGUUAAACUCUUGCCCCAAGAGCAAAAGGGGUAAUCAUACUACCUGAUGUAUGGACUUUUACACCAGGCUUUUACCCUGCACGAGCUGGCCAACUUGAGGGGAACUGAAGUGGGCAAACCUCGCCCUGUCGUUGAACAAGAAAGCUGGAUUUGUUGAGAGAGUAUCAUUUAAGCUGAAAUCCAGCAUGAAACCAGAGAGGUGAUGGCCAUCGCACAGGCCAUGUGCCGAAUAUUCACUUUCCACCAGCUUGUGACUUGCUCCAUGAAGGGAGCAACAACUACAAAGGGGUCACCAAGACCAAGCCUCCCCGCUGCUGAGAGAAAUGCAAUCAUUGAUGUCAUAGCCAAAACCUUUGACAAGCCUUCGGUUGAUGUUGAAGAAAAGAUGAGAGGUUGUUUAAGGCAUCUGCGGCUGAUGCACAAGUAGACUGAAGUCUUUGUAAAUAAAAUGUGCUGUUAAAAUGAUUAUUUAACCAUUGUUUUCACUUUGUUAUAUAGAUUUGCACCUGUUUCAACAACAUUAACUUAUUUUUAUGCUCCCAGUAGGGUCUCAUAUAGCAGUUGAACUGUCCGUCUGUCUGUCUAUCCGUCCGAAAACUUUAGCAUUGGUCAUAACUUUUGCAAUAUUG